rnacentral:hammerhead_ribozyme from 1 species
AUUCAUAUGAUCAGUCUCAAAUAGGACGAAACUCAUGUCCUGGAU